CCCGGGGUAGCUCAGCGGUAGUUGGCCGUUCGCGCGAACGGAUUCGCCACAGAGCAGCCGGCUGUAGACCGGCGGGUCGCGUGUUCAAAGCGGGCUUUCUUUAAAAAGAAAGCACGCGUGCAAAGAAACUCCGCCUUCCGGCGGUGCAUGAAAAUCACGCUCCCGGGACCA
rnacentral:tRNA from 1 species